rnacentral:rRNA from 1 species
AACGAACGCUGGCGGCAGGCUUAACACAUGCAAGUCGAACGCCCCGCAAGGGGAGUGGCAGACGGGUGAGUAACGCGUGGGAACGUACCUUUCGCCUCGGAAUAUUCCCGGGAAACUGGGAGCAAUGCCGAAUACGCCGUAUUGGGAAAGAUUUAUCGGCGAAAGAUCGGCCCGCGUUAGAUUGGGUAGUUGGCGGUGUAAUGGACCACCAAGCCUACGAUCUAUAGCUGGUCUGAGAGGAUGAUCAGCCACACUGGGACUGAGACACGGCCCAGACUCCUACGGGAGGCAGCAGUGGGGAAUCUUGGACAAUGGGCGCAAGCCUGAUCCAGCCAUGCCGCGUGAGUGAAGAAGGCCUUAGGGUUGUAAAACUCUUUCGCCGGUGAAGAUAAUGACGGUAACCGGAGAAGGAGCCCCGGCUAACUUCGUGCCAGCAGCCGCCGUAA